rnacentral:rRNA from 1 species
UUCGAUCCUGGCUCAGAUUGAACGCUGGCGGGAUGCUUUACACAUGCAAGUCAUAUAAACGGCAGCACGGACUUCGGUCUGGUGGCGAGUGGCGAACGGGUGAGAAUACCGGAACGUGCCUAUAGUGGGAUAAUCUACGCGAAAGCGUAGCUAAUACUUCCUCUCGCAUACGCUCCUCGGGGAAAGCGGGGGACCGGCCUCACCAGAGUGCCGAUACCAACGGGAUUACUAUUGGUGGGGUAACGGCUCACCAAGGUUACGAUCCGUAGCUGGUUUGAGAGGACGACCAGCCACACUGGGACUGGAGACACGGCCCAGACUCCUACGGGAGGCAGCAGUGUAAUUUGGAUAAUGUGGGAAACCCUGAUCCAACAUCCUGGCGUGCGAUGAAGGCCUCUUCGCCAGGGUGUAGUUAAUUUCGGCAGGGAAGAAAUGCACGGGAUAAUACCCUGUGCAACUGACGGUACCAGAAUAAGCACCGGGCUAACCAUGCGCCAGCAGCCGCGGUAAUACGUAGGGUGCAAGCGUUAAUCGGAAUUAUCAAGUGAAGCGGCAGGCGGUUCGGAAAGAAAGAUGAAUCCCCAGAGCUUAACUUGGAACUGCAUUUUUAACUACCGAGCUAGAGUGUGUCAGAGGGAGGUGGGAACUGCGUGUAGCAGUGAAAUGCGUAGAUAUGCGGAGGAACACCGAUGGCGAAGGCAGCCUCCUGAUAACACUGACGCUCAUGCACGAAGUGGGAGCAAACAGGAUUAGAUACCCUGGUAGUCCACGCCCUAAACGAUGUCAACUAGCUGUUAGGGCCUUCGGGCCCCAGGCGCAGUUAAUUGCGAAGUUGACCGCCUGGGGAGUACGGUCGCAAGAUUAAAACUCAAAGGAAUUGACGGGGACCCGCACAAGCGGUGGAUGAUGUGGAUUAAUUCGAUGCAACGCGAAAAACCUUACCUACCCUUGACAUGUCUGAAUCCCGAAGAGAUUUGGGGAGUGCUCGUAAGAGAACCGAACACAGGUGCUGCAUGGCUGCUGUCAGCUCUCGUGUCGGAGAUGUUGCCAAGUCCCGCAACGAGCGCAACCCUUGCUGGGCUGGGGUUGCCACGAAAGGGCACUCUAUCGAGACUGCCAGACAAACCGAGGAAGGUGGGGAUGACGUCAAGUCCUCAUGGCUCUUGGCGGGUGGGGCUUCGACGUCAUGCUAGCUCGUCGUGACAGAGGUCGUCAACCCGCGAGGUGGGACAAUCCCAGAAACCCGAUCGUAGCUCGGAUCGCAGUCUGCGACUCGACUGCGUGAAGUCGGAAUCGCUAGUAAUCGCGGAUCAGCAUGUCGCGGUGAAUACGUUCCCGGGUCUUGCAACACACCUCGCCCGUCACACCAUGGGGAGGGUUUUACCAGAAGUAGUUAGCCUAACCGUAAGGAGGGCGAUUACCACGGUAGGAUUCAUGACUGGGGUGAAGUCGGACAAGGUAGCUCGGUUAUUACCUGAUGU